GAGCUCACGAGUGGCCAACUCGUCCUUAAUUUUUUCCCCCAGCCCGCGAUGGAAAAUCGCAAUUAAUGCGCCCUCAUCCCACCCACAUUCAGCCGCUAGAGUGCGAAACUCUAUUACAAAGUCAGCUACCGAGCGCCCCCCUUGGGACAGCUCGAGUAACCGAGGGCCCGCCUCUCUUCCACCCGUAGGGUGGAAAAAAGUGUCCUUAAGAGCCUCCGUGAAGGCGCGCUCUGAAGAACACUCGGGUGCACUCUGCUCCCAGAGGGCAGUGGCCCACUCUAGGGCUUUACCUGUGAGUAGUGAGAUUAUGAACGCAACUUUGGAGCGCUCAGAUGGAAAUCUAGAGGGUUGCAAUUCGAAUGUCAGGGAACAUUGCAGGAGGAAACCCCGGCAUUUCUUUGCCUCCCCUGAAAAACGUUCAGGGGGUGGGAUGGGGGUCUCUACCCCGGCUGAUGCCCCAGAAUGAACAGGGGCCUGGGUCUGGCUGUUUGAACUGGCGCCCAGCGUAGGCAGCAGCUGGGCGAUCUCAGACAAACGCUGAGCCAGCUCAUUGAGAGCCAGCUCGUGUCUCCCUAACGUUAUCCCCUGGUGACGUAGGACGUCAGAUACAGGGGGGAUCUCUGCUGGGUCCAUGAUUGGUCGCACCUUACUGUUAUAGGGAGAAGCGGAGGACCCAAGAAUGCAGAGAAAUAUAUAUAUUUAUUUGUUAUAAACAAUAUAUAUUUUAUAAAACACAAAAUUGGAAAAGGAUAACAAAAAACAAAUCGGGAGAACCCCGAUUGAAGCCGCAGGCGCCGCAGGCAACUGAAAAAGACAAAAAUGAAAAAUAUAUAAAUAAACACAAUACCGCGAGUCACGAACCCGGAUCGCCGGCGUGCGAGGCGUUCGUGUACUCACAGAGCUAUCUACUAGCUGGAGAAAAAGGGGGAAGUCUCGCGCUUAAAAGGCGCCGAGAACAAACGGUCCCAAAACGCGGAGAAGAGAAACCAAAACCGAAACCGGCAAGAGUUUCGGAGUUUCUCGGACCAGCGCUGUCACCAGCUUCGCACCGCUGAGCUGGGAGGAAACCGAUCUGCUAAGGGGGAAAAAAUAGAGAACACAAAAAGGUUACUGCGCGGAUCCGAACCGACGCUGACAGCGUCAUAAACAAACGCUUAGCCCACUAGGCUAAGCUGGCACUGAAGGGCCCGCCUACUUUAGCGGAUAAGAUCUCUUUCGCUGUACCGGCGGCUAGGCUAACGUUAGCCACCAGCUAACGGAUACAGAGGAGAUCUGGCAAAAAGGCGAGGAACAGAACAGCAGCGCGAGGACUGCGCGGGGUCGCACCGAUCUUUCCCUACCUGGAAAAGAAAACCCUAUUUACCUCUGUCUUUCAACAUACACACCCGACCAUUCUAGUAAUGCCCGGGGAUACCGAACUGACCCUGAAAAAAGGGGUGCGACUGCACAGCCAUUGCGUGUGAAAACAAGAGAGAAGGUGCGACGCCUACAGCUAUGCGAGGCUCACUUAAAUAGCGCGAGUGCAGCUGCAGGUCGUUGCACUAAUUAGGCAGCCUCCUAUUUAAAGCUUUGCUGUUCUGUGCUCUGUAACACCUGCGACGCUGGGAGCUGGUGGUGCGUUCACCAGACGCCGCAGGUACCCUAACAGGUAUAGUACACUUUAACUUCAUUCUUGUUUUUGUCUUCGUUGGGACCCCGGCCUGGAUUCUUAUAAUUGGGUGAGAUAAAUGCUGUUUCUGUCUCCACUAAUGUAUAUGUAGGACUGUUGUCAUGUAUUAAAAAUAUGGUAGUUAAUGCUCUCUUUAAGGGUCAGCUACUCUCUGAUGUCGUAUGUGAUCCGGUGUUUCCAAGUGGAACCGGACCUGCCACGAUCCUGGCCGUAUGGAGGGGUUGUUGAAAAUGAAAUGAAAAAACGAUCAAGGUAUUACAUAAUAUUACUGCUUCAUUUGCUGUUUAUCUGAUGUUAUUAUGUUGUUUCUGUAGAGAGGUUGCUAAGCCGCUGCUGCUUAUAGGAAAAGCUGCUGCCCUUCUGGUUCAGAUCCUCAACCGGCUUUGUCAAAAAACAAGCUACAAAAAAGCCAGAGAUCUGUGGAAUGAAGCUGGACUCAACUGGAGGGACUUUCUUCAUGUGGAUGAGGACGUCAGCAAGUUUGUGAUGAAACACCUGCCUCCAGCAUGGAACAAGAUUUAAAACAGCAAACAGAAGCCCCAAAUUUCAAAAUAAAUAAAAAUAAAAAUUCUGCUAA